CAGGAAGUAGUUUAAUAAGAAUA
rnacentral:tRNA from 1 species